GGUCCCGUGGUGUAGUUGGUUCAACAUGCCGCCCUGUCAAGGCGGAGAUCGCGGGUUCAAGUCCCGUCGGGACCG
rnacentral:tRNA from 1 species